rnacentral:lncRNA from 1 species
CAUGAUUGCCGCAGUGACUGUUGCAUGGAAGAUGUGCGAUCUCUUUUCCCAUGUCACUGCUUCGCCAAACAGAUGAGGUUACAAAGGCAAUGAAAAGGCCACGGAGAACACUGGGAAGAAACAAGAAAUGAAAACGAGAAACCAUCACAACAUAUACAAGCUUGGCAGGUUUCUGGAAAAGCAUUAAUCUCUCAUGGCUUGUUCUUGCACAACAGGUGUGAGGGCCACAUAAAUUACUCAGCCACUGCUGCUCCAGUCUGUGUUUAUGGGGCCUGUAGUUAAAUGACCUGAUUCAAUCUUCAUGUCCUUUCUCUAGUGUUAUUUCUUGCUCUAUUGAUAUGUCUAAGAGCGGUGCCAUCCUUUUCUAUUUUUGUGCUCUAUGCGAAGUGGAGGUUUAGCCAAAAGCUCGCCGUG